CGUGGACCUGCCCUGGGUUGAUAAUUCGGGAGUCCCUGCCUACUCCGGAGCUUAAUGGUCUACCGGAUCCCCUGCUGGUCCACUCAGGAGCCUCGCUUCCCCUGCCACCGAGAGUCCCCGCACCUACCCCAACCCGCUCAAGAUUCCAAAUUUCAGUGCCAUGAGCCUUGCGCAUCUGGGCUGCCCAGUGUCCGUGCGGUUUUUAGCAGCUGGUGUUUCUGAUUUAUUUACAUAUGUGAGUCCACUGUUACUCUCUUCAAACAGAUCAGAAGAGGGUUGUGAGCCACCAUGUGGGAAUUGAACUCGGGACAUCAGGAAGAGCAAUCAGUGAGACAUCUCUCAGCCCCAAACUCACAAAGUUUUAAAAUUCUGUCUCUUAAAAAUAUCCACAGUCUCUCAACCGUGACUCCUGUAAAGUCAAAAUUAAGUUAUAUACUUUCUUACUCCAAGAGGAAAAAAAUCAGGAAACAGUCAUAAUAAAAUGAGAAGAAAUCCUAAGUCCGAAA